rnacentral:rRNA from 1 species
UACGGGGGGGGCGAAGCGUUGUUCGGAAUUACUGGGCGUAAAGGGCUCGUAGGCGGCCAACUAAGUCAGACGUGAAAUCCCUCGGCUUAACCGGGGAACUGCGUCUGAUACUGGAUGGCUUGAGUUUGGGAGAGGGACGCGGAAUUCCAGGUGUAGCGGUGAAAUGCGUAGAUAUCUGGAGGAACACCGGUGGCGAAGGCGGCGUCCUGGACCAAUACUGACACUGAAACGCGAAAGCCAGGGGAGCAAACGGG